rnacentral:rRNA from 1 species
AUUGAACGCUGGCGGCAGGCCUAACACAUGCAAGUCGAGCGGCAGCGGAAAGUAGCUUGCUACUUUGCCGGCGAGCGGCGGACGGGUGAGUAAUGUCUGGGAAACUGCCUGAUGGAGGGGGAUAACUACUGGAAACGGUAGCUAAUACCGCAUAACGUCGCAAGACCAAAGAGGGGGACCUUCGGGCCUCUUGCCAUCCGAUGUGCCCAGAUGGGAUUAGCUAGUAGGUGGGGUAACGGCUCACCUAGGCGACGAUCCCUAGCUGGUCUGAGAGGAUGACCAGCCACACUGGAACUGAGACACGGUCCAGACUCCUACGGGAGGCAGCAGUGGGGAAUAUUGCACAAUGGGCGCAAGCCUGAUGCAGCCAUGCCGCGUGUAUGAAGAAGGCCUUCGGGUUGUAAAGUACUUUCAGCGGGGAGGAAGGUGUUGAGGUUAAUAACCUCAGCAAUUGACGUUACCCGCAGAAGAAGCACCGGCUAACUCCGUGCCAGCAGCCGCCGUAA